UAAUACAUAGGGUGCGAGCGUUGUCCGGAAUUAUUGGGCGUAAAGAGCUCGUAGGCGGUGUGUCGCGUCGGUCGUGAAAACUUGGGGCUUAACCCUGAGCUUGCGGUCGAUACGGGCAUCACUGGAGUUCGGCAGGGGAGACUGGAAUUCCUGGUGUAGCGGUGAAAUGCGCAGAUAUCAGGAGGAACACCGGUGGCGAAGGCGGGUCUCUGGGCCGAUACUGACGCUGAGGAGCGAAAGCGUGGGGAGCGAACAG
rnacentral:rRNA from 1 species